GGACUACUGGGGUUUCUAAUCCUGUUUGCUCCCCUAGCUUUCGUGCCUCAGCGUCGGUAACGGUCCAGGGAGCCACCUUCGUCGCUGGUGUUCCUCCCGAUCUCUACGCAUUUCACCGCUACACCGGGAAUUCCACUCCCCUCUCCCGUACCCGAAGCACAGCAGUUUUCGAUGGCCGCUCCCGGUUGAGCCGGGAGAUUUCACACCAAACACACUGCGCCGCCUACGCACUCUUUACGCCCAGUAAUUCCGAACAACGCUAGCCCCCUACGUAUUACCGCGGCGGCUGGCAC
rnacentral:rRNA from 1 species